UACCCGAGUUGUAAUCUAGAGAAGCGUUAUCCGCGCUGGACCGUGUAUAAGUCUCCUGGAAUGGAGCGUCAUAGAGGGUGAGAAUCCCGUCUUUGACACGGACUACCAGGGCUUUGUGAUGCGCUCUCAAAGAGUCGAGUUGUUUGGGAAUGCAGCUCUAAAUGGGUGGUAAGUUCCAUCUAAAGCUAAAUAUUGGCGAGAGACCGAUAGCGAACAAGUACCGUGAGGGAAAGAUGAAAAGAACUUUGGAAAGAGAGUUAAACAGUACGUGAAAUUGUUGAAAGGGAAACGCUUAAAGUCAGUCGCAUUGACCAGGGAUCAACCUCGCUUUUGCUUGGCGCACUUCCUGGCUGAUGAGUCAGCAUCAAUUUUGACCAAUGNAAAAAGUUCAAGGGAAUGUGCCAUCUUCGGAUGUGUUAUAGCCUUUGGYCAUAUACAUUGGUUGGGAUUGAGGAACUCAGCACGCCGCAAG
rnacentral:rRNA from 1 species